rnacentral:rRNA from 1 species
AGAUUGAACGCUAGCGGGAUGCUUUACACAUGCAAGUCGAACGGCAGCGCGGACUUCGGUCUGGCGGCGAGUGGCGAACGGGUGAGUAAUAUAUCGGAACGUGCCCAGUAGCGGGGGGAUAACUACGCGAAAGCGUGGCUAAUACCGCAUACGCCCUACGGGGGAAAGGGGGGGAUCGCAAGACCUCUCACUAUUGGAGCGGCCGAUAUCAGAUUAGCUAGUUGGUGAGGUAAAGGCUCACCAAGGCGACGAUCUGUAGCUGGUUUGAGAGGACGACCAGCCACACUGGGACUGAGACACGGCCCAGACUCCUACGGGAGGCAG